rnacentral:rRNA from 1 species
UCCGUAGGUGAACCUGCGGUUGGAUCAUUACUAUAAAUAUCCAUGUCCCGACGGCAUUGUCGGAGGGACUCUGGUAACAUUAUGUGAACUGUAUUGUCUCUGGCGGGGGGGGUGGAGUAUAAGUAAUUUACUCUAUCUGUCAGCUUGACGCUAAUAUUUUGUCAAGCCGUGGACAUCCCGUCAAACUCUUGUAUAAACCUAUUGUCUGUUUUUUAUGUCUGACAUUUUUUGUAUGAAAUAUACAAACAACUUUUGGCAACGGAUCUCUUGGCUCUCGCAACGAUGAAGAACGCAGCGAAAUGCGAUAAGUAGUGUGAAUUGCAGAAUUCAGUGAAUCAUCGAAUCUUUGAACGCACCUUGCGCUUCCUGGUAUUCCGGGGAGCAUGCCCGUUUCAGAAUCAUUAAAAUCUCACAAACUGUUUAUGUCAUUGCGCAUAUAUGGUAUUGUGGAUUUGGAUGCUUUGCUUCAGGCAAUCAUCAGAAAAAGAUUGUAUGUGCGCCAAUAGGACAAAAUUGGUUAUCAAAAGUGCAACAGAGGGAACUCCAAUCGCUUUUGGCAAUUUAUUCUGGAUACUGGAUGGGGAACAUGGUACUCCAACUAUCAACAAGGCGGUCAGGACUAUUUUGGGGGUUUGCUGCUUGAUAACUUGGUCUGAAAUCGGGCAAGAAAACCCGCUGAACUUAA